rnacentral:rRNA from 1 species
UACAGAGGGUGCGAGCGUUAAUCGGAAUUACUGGGCGUAAAGCGUGCGUAGGCGGUUUGUUAAGUCUGUUGUGAAAGCCCCGGGCUCAACCUGGGAAUGGCAAUGGAUACUGGCAGGCUAGAGUGUGUCAGAGGAUGGUGGAAUUCCCGGUGUAGCGGUGAAAUGCGUAGAGAUCGGGAGGAACAUCAGUGGCGAAGGCGGCCAUCUGGGACAACACUGACGCUGAGGCACGAAAGCGUGGGGAGCAAACAGG